rnacentral:rRNA from 1 species
GACGAACGCUGGCGGCGUGCUUAACACAUGCCAGUCGAACGGAAAGGCCCUGCUUUUGUGUGGUGCUCGAGUGGCGAACGGGUGAGUAACACGUGAGUAACCUGCCCUUGACUUUGGGAUAACUUCAGGAAACUGGGGCUAAUACCGGAUAGGAGCUCCUGCUGCAUGGUGGGGGUUGGAAAGUUUCGGCGGUUGGGGAUGGACUCGCGGCUUAUCAGCUUGUUGGUGGGGUAGUGGCUUACCAAGGCUUUGACGGGUAGCCGGCCUGAGAGGGUGACCGGCCACAUUGGGACUGAGAUACGGCCCAGACUCCUACGGGAGGCAGCAGUGGGGAAUAUUGCACAAUGGGCGGAAGCCUGAUGCAGCAACGCCGCGUGCGGGAUGACGGCCUUCGGGUUGUAAACCGCUUUCGCCUGUGACGAAGCGUGAGUGACGGUAAUGGGUAAAGAAGCACCGGCUAACUACGUG